UGGGGAAUAUUGGACAAUGGGCGAAAGCCUGAUCCAGCCAUGCCGCGUGUGUGAAGAAGGUCUUCGGAUUGUAAAGCACUUUAAGUUGGGAGGAAGGGCAUUAACCUAAUACGUUAGUGUUUUGACGUUACCGACAGAAUAAGCACCGGCUAACUCUGUGCCAGCAGCCGCGGUAAUACAGAGGGGGCAAGCGUUAAUCGGAAUUACUGGGCUUAAAGCGCGCGUAGGUGGUUUGUUAAGUUGGAUGUGAAAUCCCCGGGCUCAACCUGGGAACUGCAUUCAAAACUGACUGACUAGAGUAUGGUAGAGGGUGGUGGAAUUUCCUGUGUAGCGGUGAAAUGCGUAGAUAUAGGAAGGAACACCAGUGGCGAAGGCGACCACCUGGACUAAUACUGACACUGAGGUGCGAAAGCGUGGGGAGCAAACA
rnacentral:rRNA from 1 species